rnacentral:lncRNA from 1 species
AAACAAGGCAACAAAAGAAAUAAAAAACCUAGAGAGGAAAAAGCUAACCAACAAGCCAAUCACCCAAAAAAUUCAGAAAAGAGAGAGAGUCCAAGUCCAAAAACUAUUGAGACCACUCAAGAAGAGACCGAAAAAAGAGGUUCCUCAAGCAAGUAUCUGACAUCUCUUCCUCUUGGAAUGUUCUUCAGUUUCACUCUCCCCAAAUACACCAAAAAAGACAAAUAGGCGCCAAUCUCCAAAUCGCUCUCCUUUUCUUCCCUAGCCCCUUAACUUUCCAUUCUAGAAGUAGAUUUCUCAUUGAAGCUGGGAACACCCACACCACCCCAAAAGAAGAAAGCAACAAAGUCCAAAACUCCCUUGUCUUACCACAAUGAAUUAGGAUGUAGUCAACCGAUUCUUCAUUCUCUUUACAAAGACUGCACCUAUUAACCAUAGACCAACCCCUCCUCAUUAACAUAUCUACAAUAGAAAUUUUACCCUAAACUGCUUCCCAUGCAAAAAAAUGUAUUCUAAAAGGGGCAUACGAACCCCAAACCUCUUUGGCUGGAAAUAAGGGGCUAUUCUCAUCCUUUAAAGACCUAUAAUAAGAUUUAACAUUAAACUUUCCCUUCCUCUCUAUCUUCCAAAAUAAAGAAUCCUCCCCUUUUUGAACCUUUAUUGCAGAAAUAUGAUCCAAAAAAUGAGUCACCUCCUCCAAUUCCCAAUCUUGGAAGGAUCUUCUAAAGUGCACCUCCCAACCCUCGCCCCCACCUCCUUGUCUCCCCCAAAGAUCAGCCACUACAGCAGAAUUAUGGGUUGCAAUUUUGAACAGCAAAGGGAAAAGAUCCUUCAGCUUAGAAUCUCCUACCCAAAUGUCUCACCAAAAUCUUGUGCGUCUACCAUUUCCAAUACGAAUACUAGUUCUAAGAAGGAACUCAUCCCAACCCUUUCUAAUGUCUUUCCAAAGGCCCAUCCCAUAAGACUCCCUCACCUCUCUAGUGGUCCAACCCCCUUCCUCCUCUCUAAAUUUACCAACAAUGACUUUCUUCCAAAAACUCUCCCUCUCUAGAGGAAAUCUCCAAAGCCAUUUCCCUAGCAAAGCAUGAUUGAAAACCUUCAAAUGCCUUAACCCCAGCCCUCCAUGCCUCUUAUCUUUGCAAAUAACCGCCCAUCUUACCAAGUGGAUCUUCCUUCUCUCCUCCACGUCUCCCCAUUACCUUGAAACCCCUCAUGAAACCUUUCAUCUCAGCUCUUAAUAUUAAACUGAUAUUAGAGUGUCAUUCUAAUAUGCAUGUUUAACAGAAAUCAUUCAACAAAAUAAAUAUCAUAAAAACAAAAUGGCCCCAUACAGAAAUCCAUUUUUUUUUCUUACAUUUUCCCAGCUCUGAAGAAACUGCACCUGUUGAGGGCAAGAAUUCAAAGACCCUGCAUCCAUAACAUUUAAUGAGAACCAAAGACCAGACUUUAAAAAAAAUAAAAACCCUAAAUUGGAGCAAUUUCGCUGAAAUCUAAACGAGAAGCAUUUAAUUAAAAUCAAAUUGUGAAUCAAUGAAAGUGGUUAAGGGUUGGGGAGGGUUUCACCUCUGGAGAGCCGUGUAAGGAGGAGGAUCGAAAGGGAGUCAGCCAUCGAUUGUGGGGAUCGAUUGCGGGGAUCGAUUGCAGGGAUCGAUUGCAGGGAUCGAUUGCGGGAAUCGAUUGCAGGGAUCGAUUGCGGGAAUCGAUUGCAGGGAUCGAUUGCGGGGAUCGAUUGCAGGGAUCGAUUGCGGGGGAUCGAUUGCAGGGGAGCGAGGGAGAGAGAUUGCGGGGAGCGAUGAGAAGUUCCUGGAAUUUUCCAACGGUAAGUGCGGGAGAGAAAUUGAAAUAAAGAAAGUGCGGGAUUUUAUAACGGUAGCCAGCUUGAAAAGGUAAAACUCAGGCCAGCUCGCAGCUGCCUCUAAGGCCCGGCCCAGUGGGAUAAAUUGGGUUAGGGCAGGCUUUGGUUCCCCGGCCCAAACCGGUCCGGUUUGGCCCAACCCAUUUCAAGCCUAAAUUUCAGUUUUAAACUUCAAAAGCAAGGGGGAAAAAUGGUGAAGAAAAAAAAAAAAAAAAACACCGAGUGUAGUUGAUUGACAGCAAAAUGUGAGUUGCUCUCAACCCUGCUCUGAGGUAAAAUCCCUAGUUUUUUAUUUUAUUUUUUCCUCUCAACCCUAAAAACACAAUGUUUCCUUUUUAACAUGGAUCGGCUUUCCCUUCCCAAAUUCCAUCUUGGUCCAGAAGUGAAGAAUAUAUCAAAAUUUUCAAUUCAAUCCCCAUAAAAGAAUGCAUUGUUUUAUUGAACACAAGGUCAGGUCAAGUCUAUUGGUUUACAUUUCUUUGUAGUUCUAGGAUGGAACACAAAGGGAGUCUUCAAUUCAAUCCCCUUGAAGGCAUCUUGAUUGCAUUAGUUCAAUGCAGAGGUGAAGGGAGGACAAACUAUGAUGGAAGGAUUCAUUCACAUCCUAUGUGAUACAUAAUGGAAUGGUUUCUUUUCCUGUAUACCCUCAUUUUCCCUUAAGUCUUGAUGUGUAAAGUUUUGAUUUCUUUUCUUGCGUGUUUUUUUCCCAUUAUGUUGCAGCUUACAUUUUUGUAUUUGCUGUUUGUAUAGGACAAACAUGAAAAGAUAAGGGAGCUAACCCUGGCCUUUGAGAAGCAACAAGCUCAAAUCUAUAAAAGGUACAUGGAAAUGGUUAUUGUGUACAUUGAGGAGUAUGAUAGGACUUUUCUCAAGGUAAUUUAAAAAAGUUAUUAUUAAAUUAUUAUACUAGAAGAAGUUAUUACAAAUAUAUGGUAGGUUUUGCCACCUAGGAGAGAGGGUGAACAGAUAAAUUUUUUUUUUAACCAAAAUUGUCUUUUUACAAGACGAUUUUAUUUCCAUUUUAAAAAAAAAUAAAAAUUCAAAAGGGAAAUAGUCUCUUGAAGAGACGAUUUCCCAUUAAAAAAAUUAAUAUUUUUUUUAAUAUUUAUUACAAAUUAUAUAUAAAAAAAAAAAAAAACCCAUGGGAUUUUUUUAAAAAAAAAUCCUCAAGCGAAUUCCCAUGAAAAAAAUUAAUAUUUUUUUUUAAAAAAAAUCCUCAAGGGAACUCGUCUCUUCAAGAGACGAGUUCCCAUGAAAAAAAAAUAUAUUUUAAAAAAAAAUCUCAAAUUAUAAAAAGACGAGUUCCCAUGAAAAAAAAAAUUUAAAAUUCCCAAAUUAUAAAUAAAUAAAAAAUUCCUCAAGAGAACUCGUCUCUUAAAGAGAUGAGCUCCCAUGACUUUUUUUUUUUUAAAAAUCCCAAAUUAAAAAUAAAAUAAAAUAAAAAAAUCCUAAAGGGAACUCGUCUCUUCAAGAGACGAGUUCCCAUGAAAAAAAAAUCCUCAAGAGAAUUCAUCUCUUCAAGAGACGAGUUCCCAUAAAAUAUAUAUAUAUAUAUAUAUAUUUUUAAAAAAAAAUCCCAAAUUUAAAAAAAAAAAAAAAAUCUUCAAGGGAACUCGUCUCUUGAAGAGACUAAUUCCAUGAAAAAAAAUUAAUAUUUUUUUAAAAAAAAUCCCAAAUUAUAAAUAAAGAAAUAAAUAAAUAAAUAAAAUCAUCAAGGGAAUCCCAAAUUAUAAAAAAAAAAAAAAAAAAAAAAAAAAAUUCAAGGGAAGUCGUCUCUUUAAGAGAGUAGUUCCCAUAAAAAAAAUUAAUAUUUUUUUUUUUUAAAUCCCAAAUUAUAAAAUUAAAAAAAAAAAAUCCUCAAGGGAACUCGUCUCUUCAAGAGAUGAGUUCCCAUGAAAAAAAAUAUAUAUAUAUUUUUUAAAAAAAUCCCAAAUUAUAAAAUAAAAAAAAUCCUAUAAAAAAAAUCCCAAAUUAUAAAAUAAAUAAAAAAAAUUCCUCAAAGGAAUCGUCUCUUCAAGAGACGAGUUCCCCUUGAAAAAAAAAUAUAUUUUUUUUUAAAAUUCCCAAAUUAAAAAAAAAAAAAUCCUCAAGGGAACUCGUCUCUUGAAGAGACGAUUUCCCUUUUGAAAUUUUUUUUUAAAUGAAAAUAAAAUCGUCUUUUGAAAAGACGAUUUUGUCUUUUGAAAAGACGAUUGUCUUUUGAAAAGACGAUUUUGUCUUUUGAAAAUACCAUUUUGGUUUUAAAAAAAAUUUAUCCGUUCACCCUCUCUCUUAGGUGGCAAAAACUACCAUAUAUUUGUAAUAACUUCUUCUACUAUAAUAAUUUAAGAAUAAUUUUUUUAAAUUACCGUACUAUUGAGAAAAGUCCGACUAUGAUAAGAGUAUAUCAAAGACCAUUGAACUUACAGUAAAUAAUUUGAAAGAGAUGGAGAGCAGAGAGCAGUAAUGUCAUAGACAAAUUGGAAGAAUAAUGAGAAGUACGGGAUUUGUCGUUGUUUUCCAACAGACAACAAAUCUUGACUGUUCGAUUUCUCCCUCCAUUCACGUUUUUAGCGCGGACUUGCCAUGGUAGGCAGCUCAGUUUAAAAAGUGAAACUCAACCCAGCUCACAGCUGCCUCAGUUUAAAAUUGGCCUUGUAAGGCCCGACCCAACCAUAUUGGUCCUCUGAAACCCAGCCCUGCAGGAUAUUAUUCUUUUCCUUUUUAUAAAAACAUAAAUUAAUUUAGGUCGCUACAUAAAACUAGAGCUUGUAAUCCUAUCAAAGGCAGAAAAAAUAAAUUCAAUUUCUCUAAAUUGUUUUUCAUGGUAUCAAACCUUAAUUAAGGUUCUUUUUAAACCAUCACCUUGUUCCACUUCCUUCAAAGCAUUUCUUCUCCUAAGUAGCCUUAAUUUUUGUAACAUGUUUCAAUUAUCUAGCUAGCCUCAUCUCAUCUCCUAUUUACUUCUUUCAUUCAAACAAAAAUUAUGUCAAUCACUUCUAAGAAUCAAGUAUCUUCCAAGCUAUAAAAUACCCAACAACCAACUUAGCCAAUUACCACCUUUCAAAAUGACCACCCUACUCUUCAAAUCACCACAAUAAAACUUGAUGGUAAUAAUUGAGAAAAUAAAGGCUAUGUUUAAAUGAGAAAAACACCCAAGAGGGGGGUGAAUUGGGUUUUUCAAAAUAUUUUUCAACACAACUAAUUCAAGCACAAUAUAAUAAAAAAUAAAAGGAUAGAAUUAGAGAAUUCAAACUCGGAUUUUAUAGUGGUUCAACAUUUCCCUGCCUACGUUCACUCUCCUCAAUCUCCUAACCGAGUGAGGGUUCCACUAACUUGAACCUUCAACCAAGCUUCCAAUCUUUUACACUUGAAUUCUGGCUCCAAUGGGCUCUUACACAAUCUCUUCAAGAUUCAAACCUCUUAAAGGCUUUAACACUCAAGUUUUACAAGAAAGAAUCCCUCAACCUAGCUCAAAGAUAGCUCAAAUACAAAUCAAAGCUAGGAUGACUCACAAGGAUGCACUAAAAGAUAUGCAAAUGGGGAUUUAAUACACUAAGAAAGAAAUGAGAGCUUUUAAGACAAUAACAAGUAGGUAGAUAAUUGAUUGCAGGUGUUCUUUGUGUCAUAAAUAAAGUGGAGCUCUCAAUUUAUAGGUUUCUAAGAUCGAGAGCCAAGAAAAGAAAAAGGUAGCCUCAAUCGAUCGAGCUGGGGGUCGACCGGUUCACUAGCCGUUGGAGCAUUUAAUGCUUUGGCAGGUUUAGUUGUCUCGAUCGGACCUCGAUCGUACCUCGACCGGAGGUCGACCGGGAAGGGGAAACCCUCAACCGGGAAGAGGAAGCUACUAGAUGAGAGAGAGUGUUUUUGGCACUCUUCGACCGAACCUUGAUCGGACAAGGGCAACCGAUCGACCGGUUGGCCAUAGCCUUGACCGGUUCAGCCUUUUGGCCCCGAAAACCUAUUUUUUUCAAUUCAUUUCUUUUCUAACACUUAGGCAAGGUCUUUAGGUAAAUUAAUAUGUCAAUUUUAAAACGUUUUGCCUAAAAUACAUUUGAUAAAACUCGGGUUUUAAUGAAAUCGAAACUUUAAAGGGUAAACCGAGUUUUUAAAGAUGCAUGAAACGGUAUGAAAAACCUAAGUGCACCCAUGCAUUCAUCUUACAUUCGUUUCCUAUGAUCAAAAGUCUUCUAAAAGUCUCAAUCUUGUAUCCAUUUGGUCCUUUGAUGAAUUUCUGAAUUUAUACCUGAGCUUCUUUACCAUUCAAACCAAUUAGUCACUUAACCAUGAUUUGUUAUCAUCAAAACCCAAUUAGGAGAACCCUUGGGCUAACGAUAAUUUUGUGGAAUGUCCCAUCUUCCAAAUAGUUCCUUAGGAGUAAGAGAAAGACAAGUUAUAUAUUUGGAGCUAUUGCAAAAUCAAAAGAAACAAAUCCAAAAUAUGUUAUGUGGGAUGCCGAGAAUUUAAUUGUGAUGUCUUAGUUGUUGAAUUCAAUGUUGCUUGAGAUUAGUAAGGGAUUAAGACUUCUCCCUAAAUCCAAGGAAAUUGGGAUGCAAUGAAUCAAAGCUAAAUGUCAAUGUUGUUGCUCAAGUCUAUGAACUAAAAUUUCAAAUUCAUCUAACCAAACAAGAUAUAAUCAUUGUAACUCAAUAUUACAAUACAAUGAAGUUUAUAGUUAGAACUUGUAUUUGAUUGUUGAAAUGGAGUCUAUUGUGGAUAAUGUGUAAUCGAAGAAUUUUUUUAGAAUCCAAGAGGGUCUUUGAGUACUUGUUGGUCUUAAUUAGGAGUUGGACCAAGUAAAGAGUCAAGUGCUAAGUAAAGAACCUCUUCCAUCAUUUGAGGAAGAAAGCAUAAGGAUUGUGAUGCUUCUAAAUUCAAGUACAAAGAAUCCCACUAUUACUACACCAAACAUUCAAUAUUGAUGGCUUCCAACCCUAUACUUAGGUAACAUGUCUUAUUUAUAAUUUAAAGAGAAUAUUAAUUUAUUAAUUUAUGAUAAUAAAUAAACUAAUAAACCACAUUCAUUCAGUAUGACAUGAACUUAAUAAUUUAUGAAUUCAUUAAUUUCAAAAAUUUUAACAUCAAUGUGAAUCCUUCCAUUUUAAUUAGAGUUAUUUAUGAUAUUAUUAUUAAUUUCCUCUUAACCUCCCAAAUCAAUUCAUAUUCUACCAAAGUAUACUUUACGGCGCACAUGAUCCAUAUCUAUUUUUCUACAUUCAUAUUCAAUUCAUUGGCUUUGAAUUAGUUUCAUUGUACACAUUAUAAAUCUACUUAGUUGACCUUUCAACUAACUCAUUUUGAAUCUUUCUUCUAAAUAUGAAUAAUACAUGCAUAUAACUAAUUUUAAUUGUAUUAUUUAAAAAAUAAAAAUGGUGAAUUAAGCAUAUGUUAAAAGCCAGAGAUUGACCAACGAUAACUUUCUAUCUAAUAUCAUCUUUGACAUUGUAGAGGGUUAUAUUACAUUGCAAAAAAACCUCAAUAAAAAACAAAGAAAAACGGAGGAUGUGAAGAAUCUUGGAGGAAAAACGAACGAUAAGAAAACUUCAUUAUGUGAUUUUUAAAAUGGGUAAGGCACUAAUAUUUGUUUUUUAUAUGUUGAUCUUUAUUGUAAGGUUUAAACUUCACUAAAAAAGGGAGCAAUAUGAAUUUAAAGAGGAGAGAACUAGGUAGCAAAAAUGGCAUGGAAAAGAAUUAAGAAUGAGAGAAAGAUGACGUUUAUUUAAGGGAAUAAAGAAAAGUAAAAAUAUUCAAAGAUGGUUCUUUUCUCAAAGGAGUAAAAGAGGUUAUUUUUCCGAUUUCAAGCUUAUUUUGGUCCUUUUUAACUAAAUAUCACUUUUUAAAUCAAAUAUCCUAGAAAAAUAACAAUUACACAUUCAAGAGUGAUUUAUGAAGCAAAGUUCUCAUAAUAUAAUGUGACAUAUAACAAAAAAAAAAAAAAAUUAAUUCUACAUAUAUUUAUAUUAGGAAUUACAAAAGGCAAAUUCAAGAUGGAGUGUUAUUUAAAUUUGUUCCCAUCCUUGUUUCAAAAGAAAAGAAAAAAAACUAAAUGGGCAUGCCAAAGCGAAUAUGGCAAAUGCAAGAUAGGGUAGGUACAAGAAUUCCCUAUACCUGCUUUACCCUAUUUAUUUUUUCAAACUUUAAUUAUAUUAAAAAUAAAUAUAAUUUAUAAAUAAAUAAAUAUUAUAAAAUUUAAAUUUUAUUUUUUUAAGAAGUAGAUUUUUUAUUUUAUUUUAGUUAAAGGAAACCAAAAAAAAUUAAAAUGAUUUAUUUAUAUUUAAUUAUAUAUAUAAAUGGGUAGUGGAAUAAGAUAAUACCUGAAUCCACUUUGAACUUAACCUUGAUUAAAAAAAAUAUAUUUCUAAACCAUCUUUAACAUGUUUCUUCUAAUCUCAAAUCCAUCUUGUUUAGAGCGAGACAAAUAUUAAAAAAAAAUCCACCCCAUUACCAUGCUAUGUAUCAUGGAGUAAUGUCUAAAUAGGGGAUUGCAUUUGAAUUUUAAUUUUCAUUUGAAUCUUCCAUUAAUAAAAAUUUAAGAUAAAUUGGUUCAAUGGAAUCAUUUGAAGAAUAAAAUAGAUCAUUUAAGCAUAUCUUGAAUUUGGAGAGAAAAAACAGGAAAAAUUGAAGGGAGAAGGAAUUAAAUCACAAGUGUUAAGACUUAAUGGAAGGCUGGCAUGUCAAAAUCACAAGGACUAAAAGCUCUCAACGCUCUGUUCAAACCAACCUCCCCUCCCGCCAAAACAACCACCGUCACCACCACCACAAGGGCUCAUGGACCCUCUCGCUCCCCGGAAACCCACUUCAUUCCCCUCAUACACGCCUCCAACACCCUUCCUCAACUCCACCAAAUCCACGCCCAAAUCUUCCUCCAUAAUCUCUUCUCCAAUAGCCGGGUGGUUACUCAGCUCAUUUCCUCCUCUUGUUCGCUCAAAUCCCUCGAUUACGCCCUUUCCAUCUUUCGUUGUUUUGAUCACCCCAACUUGUUUGUUUUCAACGCUUUGAUUCGUGGGCUUGCUGAGAAUUCUCGGUUUGAGGGCUCUGUUUCGCAUUUUGUGCUAAUGUUGAGGUUGAGUAUUCGACCUGAUCGAUUAACUCUGCCGUUUGUGCUCAAAUCUGUGGCGGCUUUGGUUGAUGUAGGGCUUGGGAGAUGUCUUCAUGGUGGAGUCAUGAAGCUUGGGCUUGAGUUCGAUUCUUUUGUUCGGGUCUCGUUGGUUGAUAUGUAUGUUAAAAUUGGGGAGUUGGGUUUUGGUUUGCAGCUGUUUGAUGAAAGUCCUCAGAGAAAUAAAGCAGAGAGUAUUCUGCUGUGGAAUGUUUUGAUUAAUGGGUGUUGUAAAGUGGGGGAUUUGAGUAAGGCUGCUUCGCUUUUUGAGGCAAUGCCGGAGAGAAAUGCGGGUUCUUGGAAUAGUUUGAUUAAUGGGUUUGUCAGAAAUGGAGAUUUGGACCGAGCUAGAGAGCUUUUUGUUCAGAUGCCGGAGAAGAAUGUGGUUUCUUGGACCACAAUGAUUAAUGGGUUUUCACAGAAUGGGGACCAUGAAAAGGCUUUAUCAAUGUUUUGGAGGAUGCUGGAGGAGGGCGUGAGGCCUAAUGAUCUAACUGUUGUUUCUGCUCUUUUGGCUUGCACUAAAAUUGGAGCUCUCCAAGUUGGAGAACGAAUCCACAAUUAUCUCUCGAGCAAUGGUUUCCAGUUGAACAGAGGGAUUGGGACUGCUCUGGUUGACAUGUAUGCAAAGUGUGGGAAUAUCAAGUCUGCUAGCCGGGUGUUUGUUGAGACAAAAGGGAAGGACCUUCUUACUUGGAGUGUCAUGAUAUGGGGGUGGGCAAUCCAUGGAUGUUUUGAUCAAGCUCUUCAAUGCUUUGUAAAGAUGAAAUCUGCAGGUUUGAGAUCUUUCAGUGUUGUAUGAAAUUUCAUUUGAUUAUCUAAAUAAAUCUUUUUAAGAAAUUGAAAUUUGUCCUACUUGCAGGAAUAAACCCAGAUGAGGUUAUAUUUCUUGCCAUCUUAACUGCGUGUUCUCAUUCCGGGAACGUAGAUCAGGGGCUUAAUUUCUUUGAAAGCAUGAGGCUUGACUACUCCAUUGAGCCUACCAUGAAACAUUAUACAUUAAUUGUAGAUCUAUUAGGCAGGGCAGGCCGGCUGGAUGAAGCUCUAAGUUUCAUUCAGAGCAUGCCGAUAAAUCCUGAUUUUGUGAUAUGGGGAGCACUCUUUUGUGCCUGCAGGGCUCACAAAAACAUUGAAAUGGCAGAACUUACUGCAGAGAAGCUCCUGCAGCUUGAACCUAAGCAUCCUGGAAGCUAUGUUUUUCUGUCAAACGUUUAUGCUGCAGUGGGAAGAUGGGAAGAUGUAGAAAGAGUGAGAACUUUAAUGAAGAAUAGAGGUGUAGAGAAAGAUCCUGGGUGGAGCUAUAUUGAAGUGGAGGGCCAAGUGCAUAGUUUUGUAGCUGGUGAUCAUGCUCAUGUGCGUGCAGAAGAGAUAAGCCUAAAACUAGAGGAGAUAACAGCAAGUGCAAAGCAAGAAGGAUACAUGCCUGAAACUGCAUGGGUACUUCACAAUAUUGAAGAAGAAGAGAAGGAAGAUGCGUUAGGAAGCCAUAGUGAGAAGUUGGCACUUGCCUUUGGGCUCAUUAGUACUGCUCCGGGGUCAACCAUAAGGAUUGUGAAGAACCUGAGAGUCUGUGGGGAUUGCCACUCCAUGAUGAAAUACGCUAGUAAGCUGAGUCGAAGGGAGAUCAUAUUGAGAGAUAUAAAGCGAUUUCAUCAUUUCAAGGAUGGAACUUGCUCUUGUGGAGACUACUGGUAAUACAGUAAGCUACCCAGCUUGCUUGUAUAACAUUUUUCUGGUGAAGUUUUGUCAACUCACAUUUUUCAUUUAUAUUUAUCUAACCAUUUGUCAGAUUGACUUAAUAAAGCUAUCUCAAUUAUUUGGGUGUUGGUAACUUCCCUUUCCACUUUUUCACCUUGCUUAGGCUAUGUGUUCUCAUAAAUCACGACCCCUAUGUUUUUCUUUUCUCUCAUUCAAUCAAUUUUUAUCCCCUAUACUUGUUCUUGCAGGACUUGCAACUUAAACCAUCAACCCUUUUGGUGGUGAACUCAUUUGCCUUUGUUGCAUUUGACCAAACCUCCUAGUCUUUAUAUGCUUUUGGGUGUACCAAACUUAGAGAUUGCAAACAUUUAUGUUAGUUAAAUACAUGAAAAGGUAUGACCAGUGUGGGUCUUGCGUUAGUCUUGCCUAGUAAGACCUGAUUGCACUUGCCAUGAUCUUGUCUAACAUGACUUGUGUAAUGACUCAUUCUCACCAAUGUAGAUACUGUUCGCUUUAGGCCUAAUGGGCUCUUACGGCUUUAAAGAGCAUCUACAUAGUCAAGAAAAGUCCACCAUGUCAUGAACUUCUUCCCCUAACUUAUAUGAGAUAUCACAAUCAACCUUCUAAGUAGACAUGACAUUCUCAUUGUGUCCCAUAGAUUGCAAGGUUACACAAACAAAAAUCCAUUGUGGGGCUAAACAAACAAAGAGUGGUUGAAGAUUGAUUCUAAUACCAAUUUGUAAUGACCCGAUUUGACCUAUGUAAAUAUUAUUUAUUUUAGACCCAAUGGAUCAUCGUGACUUCAAAAUGCGUUUACAUGAUUACAACUUGCCUUCAUAUGCAAGAAUUUUGCUUGGAAAGACUCCCCUUUUAAAGGUCUUGGCCUAACCUUGUUGCCCCUAUAGCAGUCUUUUCAAGCCUCCACUUGUAGGAUUCUUGCUUUGAAAUACUCCACUUUUGGGGAUCUUGCUUGGUAAGGCUUGAAAAUACCUUUGGGGAUCUUGCCUAGAAUGACUUCACUACUACUGAAAAAAAAAAAAACAGAAUUAUUAACAGUUAAUUUCUUGUGCUUAUGAAAGGCAUAAAUAUUUAGGUACUAAGAUGGUGUGUAUAGGAAAUGAGCCAAAGUUAGCACUUCUAACAUAAAUGUAUUGGCACUUUUUAGAAAUAUGUAAACAAUGACAAUUGUUGGAAGGAUGAGGUGGCACUUAUAAUCGAUUUAAGUAGUCAACAUUGGCACUUCUUAGAAGCAUCAUGUUAUACCUCUUUAAUUUUUUUGGGCAACCUUGGCACUUUCUAGAAGCGUCAACUCAUACAAUAUUACUUAUUGAUCUCAUUUGCAUAUUCUCACCCACACCUUGACAAAGACUUCAAAUGGUUAUCCAUAGUUGGAGUCCACUGGUGACCUCUACCUCUAUUGCACACUAACAUCAAGCACUGAUGAGCUCCAUAGUUGAACACCACUAGCCACCACUGACAAUCAAAACAAAGAAUUUAUUGAAACUUCAUUUGAAAUCUCUUUAUCUGAAUCCACUACUUCCUUAGGUACGAAUCUUUGUCAAUUUUUUCUUCUUGUUUCCAUCAAUCCAUUAUUUGUGUGUAUGUGUGUAUUUUUUUUGUCAGGUAGAGUCGGGGCUAGGGACGGGUUAUUCACAUUUCAUUUGAUGGUCAAAGGUGAAUUAAAAGCUAAGCAGUGGUAAUUCUAAAGAUUCCCCGAGGGAAAUCUCUACUCCAAAACUGGACUUGAGAGUUUCUUCUCAUCUAGCUCCUCGCAAAUGAAAUGAUUCAAAAAAAUUAGUGAAGAUAAAAUUCAAUUUUUUUUGUUGUUGUUAAGGAUCUAUGGAGUUCCUUUCCUUUUUUGGUGUAAGUCAAUUACUAAUCUAGAGAUCUAAUGGUUAGGUAAGUGAUUUGGUUUGAAAAUCAUUUGAUAUUUUUUGGUACUUUUUCUUAUUUUUUUGUUGAAUUUGUAUUAUUAUGCUUGUUUCCAUUUGUUCCUCUAUUUGUUAGAAAUAUCAUUUAGUUUUGAUUUGUUGAUUUUUGUCUGAACAUUGUUUGGUUGGUGAGAAAUGGAAGUGAAAGAAAGAAAGUGUUGGAUCUUGUUGUUUUAGGUUUGGAGUCGGAUUCAUAACCUAGAUAAAUCAUUAUAGUUUUUUUUUUUUGAUAGACAAAGAGAAAAAUAAAUUAAAAAAGGCCGAAACAGGGGGCGCUCCCCACGUACACAAGCAGUAUACAAAGAAAGCCAAAAACAAGGCAACAAGAGAAAGAAAAAACCUAGAGAGGAAAAAGCUAACCAACAAGCCAAUCACCCAAAAAACUCAAAAAAGAGAGAUAGUCCAAGUCUAGAAACUGUUGAGACCACUCAAGAAGAGACCGAAAAAAAAGGUUCCUCAAGCAAGUAUCUGACAUCUCUUCCUCUUGGAACGUUCUUCGGUUUCGCUCUCCCCAAAUGCACCAAAAAAGGCAAAUAGGCG